rnacentral:lncRNA from 1 species
CCAGCAGCUCCCUUUUUUUCCAGACAAGGGUGUGAACCUGCCUGGGAAUGAGGCCUGGCCUUGUGGAUGGACUUAGCUUCGCGGGGCAUGUCGCUCUGGCCCAGGCGGGUGACAAG